rnacentral:rRNA from 1 species
AUUGAACGCUGGCGGCAGGCCUAACACAUGCAAGUCGAGCGAGUGGCGGACGGGUGAGUAAUGUAUGGGAAACUGCCCGAUAGAGGGGGAUAACUACUGGAAACGGUGGCUAAUACCGCAUACCAUCGGAUGUGCCCAUAUGGGAUUAGCUAGUAGGUGGGGUAAAGGCUCACCUAGGCGACGAUCCCUAGCUGGUCUGAGAGGAUGAUCAGCCAAACUGGAACUGAGACACGGGCCAGACUCCUACGGGAGGCAGCAGUGGGGAAUAUUGCACAAUGGGCGCAAGCCUGAUGCAGCCAUGCCGCGUGUAUGAAGAAGGCCUUCGGGUUGUAAAGUACUUUCAGCGGGGAGGCGUUACCCGCAGAAGAAGCACCGGCUAACUCCGUGCCAGCCGCCGCGGUAAUAC